rnacentral:rRNA from 1 species
CGUAGGGUGCGAGCGUUAAUCGGAAUUACUGGGCGUAAAGCGUGCGCAGGCGGUUUGUUAAGUCUGAUGUGAAAGCCCCCGGGCUCAACCUGGGAAUGGCAUUGGAAACUGGCAAGCUUGAGUAUGGCAGAGGGGGGUGGAAUUCCGCGUGUAGCAGUGAAAUGCGUAGAGAUGCGGAGGAACACCGAUGGCGAAGGCAGCCCCCUGGGCCAAUACUGACGCUCAGGCACGAAAGCGUGGGGAGCAAACAGGAUU